GCUCGGGUGGCGAAAUGGCAGACGCAGGGGACUUAAAAUCCCCAGGGGGCAACCCCAUGCGGGUUCGAUUCCCGCCCCGAGCA
rnacentral:tRNA from 1 species